CUCGGUUACGGAGACAUGGUCCCUUCAACGAUAAUGGGUAAAAUAGUGGGAGGAAUAUGUUCAUUAUCCGGAGUGUUGGUCAUUGCUCUGCCCGUUCCCGUCAUCGUCAGCAAC
rfam:Caenorhabditis remanei strain PB4641 contig1062.1, whole genome shotgun sequence.